UACGUAGGUUCCGAGCGUUAUCCGGAUUUAUUGGGCGUAAAGCGAGCGCAGGCGGUUAUAUAAGUUUGAAGUGAAAGGCUGUGACUUAACCAUAGAAUGCUUUGGAAACUGUUUAACUUGAGUGCAGAAGGGGAGAGUGGAAUUCCAUGUGUAGCGGUGAAAUGCGUAGAUAUAUGGAGGAACACCGGUGGCGAAAGCGGCUCUCUGGUCUGUAACUGACGCUGAGGCUCGAAAGCGUGGGGAGCAAACAGG
rnacentral:rRNA from 1 species